rnacentral:rRNA from 1 species
UACGUAGGGUGCGAGCGUUAAUCGGAAUUACUGGGCGUAAAGCGUGCGCAGGCGGUUCGUUGUGUCGGUGGUGAAAGCCCCGGGCUUAACCUGGGAAUGGCCAUGGAAACUGGCGAACUGGAGUGUGGCAGAGGGGGGUGGAAUUCCGCGUGUAGCAGUGAAAUGCGUAGAUAUCGUAAGGAAGACCAGUGGCGAAGGCGGAUCUCUGGACAGCUACUGACACUGAGGCACGAAGGCCAGGGGAGCAAACGGG